rnacentral:rRNA from 1 species
AUUGAACGCUGGCGGCAGGCCUAACACAUGCAAGUCGAGCGGAUGAAGGGAGCUUGCUCCUGGAUUCAGCGGCGGACGGGUGAGUAAUGCCUAGGAAUCUGCCUGGUAGUGGGGGAUAACGUCCGGAAACGGGCGCUAAUACCGCAUACGUCCUGAGGGAGAAAGUGGGGGAUCUUCGGACCUCACGCUAUCAGAUGAGCCUAGGUCGGAUUAGCUAGUUGGUGGGGUAAAGGCCUACCAAGGCGACGAUCCGUAACUGGUCUGAGAGGAUGAUCAGUCACACUGGAACUGAGACACGGUCCAGACUCCUACGGGAGGCAGCAGUGGGGAAUAUUGGAAAAUGGGAGAAAGCCUGAUCCAGCCAUGCCGCGUGUGUGAAGAAGGUCUUCGGAUUGUAAAGCACUUUAAGUUGGGAGGAAGGGCAGUAAGUUAAUACCUUGCUGUUUUGACGUUACCAACAGAAUAAGCACCGGCUAACUUCGU